rnacentral:rRNA from 1 species
UACGUAGGGUGCAAGCGUUGUCCGGAAUUAUUGGGCGUAAAGAGCUCGUAGGCGGUUUGUCGCGUCUGCCGUGAAAGUCCGGGGCUCAACUCCGGAUCUGCGGUGGGUACGGGCAGACUAGAGUGAUGUAGGGGAGACUGGAAUUCCUGGUGUAGCGGUGAAAUGCGCAGAUAUCAUAAGGAAGACCAGUGGCGAAGGCGGGUCUCUGGACAGUUCCUGACACUGAGACACGAAGGCCAGGGGAGCAAACGGG